AUGGCCGAAACCGACGACCCCGCCGCCUUCUGCGAGCCCACCGUAGCAAGUGGGCUGACCCACGUCGCCGUCGCCGCUGCCGCCGCUGCGAACUCUCCCUCCGCCGCCGCGUCCAUGCUGCCGGCCCCCCGCUCACCGCCUCGAAUUCGCGUCGCCCCGGCCGGUCGCCCCUGCGCUCAUGGUUCCUGCGAAGGCGCCGAAGCCGCGGCGGCUCGGGCCGACGACUCGCAGCUAGGGCCGGCCACAUCCUCCAGCAGCCAAGGAGCCUUUCGUCCACCUCCGCCGCCGCCACCGCCGGCCGUGGAGGAAGAUUUGGCCACGUCGACGGCCACCGCCUCCAACAUGUUCGAUGAAAUGUCGCAAAGAAGUGGAAAUAAUACCAAUGCAGAGGAUGUGUUGAUAUGCACCGCAUGGAAGAAAGUCUCUGAAGAUGCAUCCGUUGGAAGCGACCAAACGGUUAACACCUAUUGGCAACACAUCAAGGAUUACUUCGAUGAGCGCAACACAAGUGGUCACUUCCGUUCGAGGGACUCUGUUCGCCAACGUUGGUCCACCAUCAAUGCCGAAUGCCAAAAGUGGGCCGGUCGCUUGUCAAAUGUUGCUCGCAUGAACCUAAGUGGUUGCGAGCUCAAGGAUGAGGAGAAGUGGAAAACUAGAGAAACUUUUGAUGCUUCGAAGAAGAAGAGUGUGGUGAUUGAGGAUGAAGAAGAUGAUGCCGUUGAGGAUACGGGCCCCACUCCUAACUCCGCCACCAAAUCAUAUAGGCCCGAUAGAAACAAGAAAGUGAAGGGAACCAAGGCCGGAGACAAUGAUCUCAAGGAAGGAUUUGAUGCCAUUGCUAAGGCGAGGAAGGAUUUCUUAUCUGAAAAUCACUUGGACAAGCAGCCAUCACCGGUGUUGGAUUCGAUGUCGUGCUUCUUCAAUCCCCCGGUAGCGCGAGCCUCGCAGUCCGUGGUGGACCAGCAGCCCAUUUAA
rnacentral:rRNA from 1 species